rfam:Gossypium raimondii chromosome 3, whole genome shotgun sequence.
AUCCCAUGGUGAGAGAACCUUCUAAAUAAAUCCUUAAACCUCUCCCAUGCAUCAUAUAAUGUCUCUAAAUUGACCUACACAAAGGAAGAGAUAUAGUUCCUCAACUU